rnacentral:rRNA from 1 species
AGCGAACGUUUGCGGCGGGCUUAACACAUGCAAGUCGAACGGGCUGUUCCUUCGGGGGCAGUCAGUGGCGCACGGGUGCGUAACACGUAGGUAAUCAACCCUCUGGUUGGGGAUAACACUUCGAAAGGAGUGCUAAUACCCGGUAUGGCGCAGCGGUCUUCGGAUCGCGGCGAGAAAGACCCGCAAGGGUUGCCAGAGGACGAGCCUGCGGCCCAUCAGCUAGUUGGCGAGGUAACGGCUCACCAAGGCGAAGACGGGUAGCUGGUCUGAGAGGAUGAUCAGCCACACUGGAACUGAGACACGGUCCAGACUCCUACGGGAGGCAGCAGUGGGGAAUUUUGGACAAUGGGCGCAAGCCUGAUCCAGCCAUGCCGCGUGAGUGAAGAAGGCCUUCGGUUGGUAAGACGUCUUUCGGUCCGGGAAGGAAAGUACGCACAGGUUAAU